UAUUUCAAUAUACAUUCAAGUUAAUUUAUGUUCAUCUAUGUUCAAAAAAAUAAAAUAAAAUUUGUGUUCAUCUUACAAAAUGGCUUCAAUAGCAAAUAAUAUUAGAUUCGUCGCUCUACUUUGUUGCAUCAUGCUGGUUUCAAGCCACACAUGGAUAAGGUUUCUUGGUGCCGGAAGAUUUUGAGUGAUCCAAGGUGUCCAGGUGGACACGGCGAGGGGAUUGGAAAGGGACAGGGCAAGGGGAUUGAAGGUGGAGCACAAGAUCAUGGUUUUUAAUAUGUAAAUGAUGUAAUUGACAAUCACCUAGUUAUACAUGGAUAGAAAUAUGGAAUUAUUAGCUAAUCAGUCCGGGUGACUACCUAGACAUGAUCAAUAAAGUUUAAAUAAAUUUUUUUAUGUUUGAUUAUACUUAAACCAAUUAUAACAUUUAUGUCUGGCGUCUUUA